GAAAGCGUGGGGAGCGAACAGGAUUAGAUACCCUGGUAGUCCACGCCGUAAACGGUGGAUGCUGGAUGUGGGGCCCGUUCCACGGGUUCCGUGUCGGAGCUAACGCGUUAAGCAUCCCGCCUGGGGAGUACGGCCGCAAGGCUAAAACUCAAAGAAAUUGACGGGGGCCCGCACAAGCGGCGGAGCAUGCGGAUUAAUUCGAUGCAACGCGAAGAACCUUACCUGGGCUUGACAUGUUCCCGACGGUCGUAGAGAUACGGCUUCCCUUCGGGGCGGGUUCACAGGUGGUGCAUGGUCGUCGUCAGCUCGUGUCGUGAGAUGUUGGGUUAAGUCCCGCAACGAGCGCAACCCUCGCCCCGUGUUGCCAGCGGAUUAUGCCGGGAACUCACGGGGGACCGCCGGGGUUAACUCGGAGGAAGGUGGGGAUGACGUCAGAUCAUCAUGCCCCUUACGUCCAGGGCUUCACGCAUGCUACAAUGGCCGGUACAACGGGAUGCGACGCGGCGACGCGGAGCGGAUCCCUGAAAACCGGUCUCAGUUCGGAUCGCAGUCUGCAACUCGACUGCGUGAAGGCGGAGUCGCUAGUAAUCGCGAAUCAGCAACGUCGCGGUGAAUGCGUUCCCGGGCCUUGUACACACCGCCCGUCAAGUCAUGAAAGUGGGCAGCACCCGAAGCCGGUGGCCUAACCCCUUGUGGGAUGGAGCCGUCUAAGGUGAGGCUCGUGAUUGGGACUAAGUCGUAACAAGGUAGCCGUACCGGAAGGUGCGGCUG
rnacentral:rRNA from 2 species